rnacentral:rRNA from 1 species
UACAGAGGGUGCAAGCGUUAAUCGGAAUUACUGGGCGUAAAGAGUGUGUAGGCGGUGUUCUAAGUCUGUUGUGAAAUCUCCCGGCUUAACUGGGAGGGUGCGGCGGAAACUGGAAUGCUAGAGGAUGGGAGAGGUAAGCGGAAUUCCUGGUGUAGCGGUGAAAUGCGUAGAUAUCAGGAGGAACACCUGUGGUGUAGACAGCUUACUGGACCAUUUCUGACGCUGAGACACGAAAGCGUGGGUAGCAAACAGG